rnacentral:tRNA from 3 species
GCCAUCCUAGCUCAGCUGGUAGAGCAAUGGUAUCGUAAACCAUAGGUCACGAGUUCGAUCCUCGUGGGUGGCUCUA